CCAAUGAAAUCAAGUGAUUAAGCUAUGCUUAAUUUAUAUAAACCCAUAGAGCACCUUUGUGCUCCUAAUGUUUUCCUUCUUUGCUUUCCUGGGUGAUAAAGUGAUGGAGUGUAUCAGGGAUUACCAGAUGGUGCAAAAGGGCGAGCACAGAGGAGCAGAAAGCAAUUUGCUGAGAUUUGCUGUUCUAAUAAAAAAGAGGUUGCACUUCAAAUCUUGGGAUGCAGCACGCCCAGAUGUUUAGCUUACAGGCUGAGGAGUGUCCCUGUCCAGCCCAAGUUGCACCAGUGCUACAGUAGAAGCCAAAGAGACCACAGGGCUGCAGUUCAGCACUCCACUCUAUAUGCAUCUGGGUCUGGCCAUUAGUAAGUAUAAGAGGAUCAUUAGAUGUUGCAUAAAAGUUGCAGUUUCUCUGGCUAUUUUCAUCUCAGGGUCCUUUUGCAUAAAGCCCCCUUGGUGCUGUGUCCCCUACAACGCCUCUUUACAUUAAAAAGUGUGGCUUCUGCUCUAACCCAAAACCUAGGCUUUUUCUCUUGGCAGAAGGAGGUUGAAAAGUGCACAUUGCUUUUGAAAUCUGUCUCUGAACAUUUCUUUUAGCUGCAACCACAGAUCACAUCUCAUAAACAGUCACAUUUUUCAAUAUAAAUUUCAUAUUUGUUGGUUCUAAUCUAAUUAUUUAUAGAAAUGCCCUUUUCCUGAGAUCCAUAAUCUUCUCAAAUUUCAAUACUUUCUUGCUGUGAAAAAUGAUUCACUCUGGGCUGACUGUAUGAUGGUAGCUGCAUAUUUGUUCAUUGUGGUGCAUUUUUAUCCAGAAAACUAAGUCUGGAAAUGAUUCCUGGGUAACAGUUGCCCUGAAGAACACCACCAGUAGGCUAAUCCAGUCUCCAAAUGUCCAGGAUCCUGCUGAAAUUAACUGGAAAUGAUUGCAAAAGUGUGAGUAAACGUCCUUAGCAUAUUCUGUCAAAUAUUUAUUGCAUCUAUUUUCUCCUCAUUGACAGAUUAUGCAACUGGUGUUUCAAGGCAAUUUCCACCCAUGAAACAUUAGCUCUUUGAAUUUAAAAAGUUAAUUCUAGUGUUUAGAUAGACCCACGCAAGCUUAAAUUGGCAGUCGAAAUGAGAACUGGAAAGCUUAAAUGCUUUUGUGAAUGCCUGUCAAAUCUUCCUGGUCCCUGAAACCAAACACAGACCAGUCGCCUGUGGGGCUGCAGCCAUAGUCCCACCAAGGCUGGGGGUAAGUGCAAAGGAAAAUAAGUCCUUGGGAAGGAAAUUGACCCCCAUUUUGGUGAGCUGAAAGAGCCUCAUUCAAGUCAAGUUUACUGCAGGACCACAGCAUUGGGCAGACUGACAGAAAUUCUUUUCAGAUUUUCUACAGUAUAUUUUAAUAGUCUUCUUCAAGGUAAUAGCUUGUAACCAGGGCCUUUUUGCCUUUAAGGUAGAUUUUUACCUUGGAGUGGAGAAAGAGGUAUAAUGUCUCACCAUUGCGAAAGAUCCAACCCAUUUAUUUCAAAGGACAGAAUUGUUUGUUACAAGAAAUCGCUCAGGCAAUCCAUAUUAACAUGUUAAUUAUGAUUCAACAAGUUUUCCAUGGCAGCCUAAUACCAGUGUUAAUUUCUCUGGGUAAGUUUUGCUACAAACUACUGCAGCAUGGUAAACAGGAAAACAGAUCAUUUCUGAGAGGGUUUGCUUUGUCAGCUGUCACCCUAAUUGGUGACAAAUGCAGCCUUGUGGAGAGCAUUAGAUGCGUUGGGCUGGGAGCAGGGGAAGGUUUCUCCCUGUUGGAUUGAGCUGGGUUACAUGACCCCACAGCUCUGCAAACUGCAAAAAGGAGCAUGGCAAGCCAGAUGUGUUUCAAUCGAUAAUUGGACUCAUUAGUGUGGCAUGGUGAGCCUGCCUCCUGUUUACCUGCAGUAGCGCAGUACUGAAUUUGUGUCAUUUCUGAUUUCUCCCCUCCACGUCCCAGCUGCUCAGCGUAGACACUUUUUCCCAGGCAAUUAGAGGACCUAAGACAGGAGCUGGAGUGAGAUGGAAGACACUGUGUGUUAAUUAGGGUUUUUUCAACUAAUUGACCCAGUCAUGCAAAGGGAGUAUCUGAGAUUUCUUGUUGCUUUUGCUAAUUUCACCAUUCAAAUAUCUGAAGGAGUUUUACAUUAAAUUGACUUAAAACCUUCCACAAACAUCCAAAAAAUUUCAAUAGUAAAAGGUUUUGCUCUGUGGGAGUUUUGAUGUGGGAAAAAAGAACGCACUUAUCAACUAUAUCUAAAAUAUCUGAAAAAUUCUACAGCAAAACAAUAUUAGCACUGUUUUCUAGAAUGAAGAAUAUGAACAUAUGAAAAUAUGUCCAUGUGUUUCUAUGAAAAUAUACAGUGAAACAAUGAAUCAAUCAAAUUAAAGGUCCUAGUAUUUUUACCCGAGAAAGAAAGAAAGAAGAAGAAUUUGUACUAUGCUUAAUUUCCCUAAUGUAGUCUCCUAGAUGAGUAUUUGGUGGCAGUGUCUUGUUUCCUAUCCAGCCUUUCAAGGUUUGCAGGGGCACUCAAUGUUUGAACAAGCUACAAACCUUGUUUUGGAUGCAUAUGAUCUUCUUCCACACAUGUACAGGCUUCAUCUCAGCAUCAGAACAUGUAUCUUUUGUCCAGGUACAAUGAUGAUGCACUACUUCCAUGCUAUGCCCUCUAAGUCCUACCUCGUUGUCUGGAAAGCCACUAAUUCUCACUGUGCCCAGGGAUGUGUGACUUCUGACCUGGCAAUAAGGUUCUUUCACCAGUAGAAAGGGGACAGCCUUGUGUGAGCAGCCAGAUCGAGCAGAGAGGCUGGAGAAUUAACAAUCAGAAUCAGUGGGUUUGCCAGAAGCUAUUUAGAUUAGAUUAGAAAAGGUGUUAGGAGAGAUUAGCUGGGAAUGGGUUCGGAGAUAGUGAUAGGGGUCAGUGGGGACAUUACAGGGCACCCAGGGACAAGACUUUCUGGGGAUUCUCCAGUCUCAGGGGAAAGGUUGUGUCAGGUAUUGCUCAGUGCCUUGGAGGAGGAGGUGAUGGACACAGCCCCAAAUGACCAUGCCCCGUAGCCUCUGGCUGCUGCAUUCCUGUCCCAAACUGUAAAUUUGUAAAUUGUCCCUAGAAAUCAGCUGGUCAGACACCUUCAGAAUCCUGAGGAAAUUCACAGGAGAUCUUUGAACACUUGGCAAUCUUGAGCACUUCCCUGGUGGACUUCUGUUCUCUGAGCUUGCCCAUGAACUGAGAUUUACAGAACAGGCAGCUUUCUGAGGACAAUGUAAUUUCCAUCUGGACGUCCAACAGGAGAUCAUUACCUUCCACAGUGGCAUUGUCUUCAUCAAACAAGAUGAUCUUCACCAUGAACUUUGCCUGACUUGUAAUCCUCUCCCUUAGCCCCUGACUUG